AAAUUUUAAUUAGGCCAGUUAAUAGGUACUAUAUUAUUGCUUGAUCUUUUCUACACCGGAUCCCCAUCUCUCCAUCUAUACAAGCCCUGUGUUGAUAGAUCAAUCGUGUGUGUCUUUUCCCUAGCAUUUUCAAACUGCAUUAGAAGAGGAUGGACAGGUACACGGUUCGCAUCUACGGUCUAGCCUUGCUACUGUCUCUCCAUCUCCUAUGCUCCGCACCUACUGCGCAAUGUCGGAUCAUCGAAGAAGACGUGGAUGACGAGAAGAUCAAUUUCCCGCAUGGGCUUUGUGUCAAUGGUAAACCGUGCAAAGAUGGAUGGCUUUGCUUGUGUUGCCUUGCGAAUCUAGAGUGCUACCCGUCCAUGGAUGCGUGAAGAAAGACUGUCUGAAACCCUCUCCUGCUCAGAUGGUGUCGAUGACAAUGACCCGUUCUCCUUUACCUGCCCCCUCUCCCGCCUCUUCAUUAGGUUUAAUUUGAAUUACCUAUAUUUUGCCCGGGACCUAAUGGAUAUUGUGUGAAAAAAUAAUUUGGAAUAGAAGUAUCUCAUACAUUAGUUGUUGCAGUUUGA